AACGAACGCUGGCGGCAGGCCUAACACAUGCAAGUCGAGCGCCCUUUCGGGGGAGCGGCGGACGGGUGAGUAACGCGUGGGAAUAUGCCCUUCUCUACGGCAUAGCCUCGGGAAACUGAGAGUAAUACCGUAUACGCCCUAUGGGGGGAAGGUUUAUCGGGGUAGGAUUAGCCCGCGUUGGAUUAGGUGGUUGGUGGGGUAAUGGCCUACCAAGCCGACGAUCCAUAGCUGGUUUGAGAGGAUGAUCAGCCACACUGGGACUGAGACACGGCCCAGACUCCUACGGGAGGCAGCAGUGGGGAAUCUUAGACAAUGGGGGCAACCCUGAUCUAGCCAUGCCGCGUGAGUGAUGAAGGCCUUAGGGUUGUAAAGCUCUUUCAGCUGGGAAGAUAGUGACGGUACCAGCAGAAGAAGCACCGGCUAACUCCGUG
rnacentral:rRNA from 1 species